rnacentral:lncRNA from 1 species
UGUAUAUCAAAACUAAUUACCAUUACAAAUUAUUUUAAAAUAUAUCAAGACUUUUUCCUUAUUAAGAUGCAUAUAAAUCACCAUUUUCUUAUGCAAGCAUAGAUAUCUCAAAAACUAAGUUUACAGAAACUUACUCUUCUUUUAAAAUUCUUAGUAACAUUAUAAAACAGAAUAUACUUUCUUAAUUUUAAGAUCAAGUGAUAGACAAUUUAAAAGUUGUGAAUUGAAGGAAAACUAGUAACCACUCAUUCUUUCAUAUAAUAUAUACGAUUAUCAUUGUGGUAGGUCCUAGGAACACAAAGACAAAUUAAAGGAAGUUUCUGCCCUUAAGAGACUCAGUCUGGAAGAAGCAAUAUGGGAGGGGCUCCCAAGGUGCUUUAUGAAGAGGAAUGAAGAGUUCAGGUUUGUGUUGCAGGAAAGUAAGCCUAGCCAAAAACAAAAACAAAAACAGAACAAAAGCAAACAAGAUGGAGACAAAAAAAAUUUAUACAGUACCUACUAUGACACUGUGCUGAGCACAAGGUGUUCAAACAAGAUUUCAGUUCUCCAGGAACCCGUAAUUCCUGCCAUUCUCAUAAAAAAAAAAAAAAAAACAUUUCUGACAUAUUAUUAUAAUAGGAAGGACUGUAUUCCAAUUCACCAAUUAGAUGCAUGAACAAUUUCACACAGAAGGGUGAACCUAAGGUUUAGAAAGGAGGUGCUAAAAUAAAGAAAUGCACACAAAAGAUUAUCCAUUAGGAAAUUACCAAAUCACUUAUGCUUCCAAGGCUGAAUAACUAUGAUCAUAUUAAAAUGAAUCCUCACCCUUGGCUUGUCAGAUUUCUAACUUCAAUCUAGGUAUUCUUAGAGAUUUAUCAUAGUACCUUACCUGUUUAUAGAGCUCUUCAAUUUACAAAGUAUUGAAAUAUCAUUAAAACCACAUACUAAUCGUCAAAUGGGAGAAGCAGAACAAAUUACCUCAUUUACAAUAUAGAGAAAAGCUUGGGUUUAUGGAGGUUAUGAAAUUUAACUCAGGUCUGCAGAUUGUUGGUAUACAUAGUUUAACUUGGAAUCAGUCUUCUAUCACUAAAAUGGACCUUAUAAAGAUUCAAAGUCAAAAGAUAGCAUGAAAAUUGAAAAAAACAUGUUAGGUGAGAUUAUAGGUAGUAUUUAAUUUUUUUACAUGUUGCAGCAUAAUUUUUACAGUUACAAUGAUUUUAAUUAUUGAAUCCAAUUCCCUAGUAAAGGAAAUUGAGUUUUAGAGGCUGAGUACUGCCAAAAGUUACAAUAAAAACAACUGAAGGGUAAGAACCACAAUUAUCUUGACUUCUACCCCACUUCUCCUCCAGUGUCUCAAAAACAAAAACAAAACAAACUUUUGGAGAUACCCACUCUGACUUUUUUUGUUUUCUGGAAUGAUUAAUAUAAACAAGUCAUUACAGGAAAAACAGAUAUAAUUAAAGUUACUGAUAUAAAGGUUUUAUUCUCAAAAAGGCAAUAAGACUAUAAUUUUAAGCAACAGAGCUUGUCUUUUUAGCAUAAUUUUGCUUAUUUUGUAAAAAAAUGAAAAUAAAUGAAUUUUUAACCAUAGGAGUUUUAAAAUUACCAUUAUUAAGUGAACUAAAGUAGAUAACAAUAUGAGUGCCUUAAAAGGUGUUUGAAAAUAAUAUUAAUAUAGUUGCCAAACUUUACAUUCUAUCCACCUAGUUUAUUAUGCAGGUAUGAGUACCUACUACAUGCAGAGAACUUUUCAGGGAAUAGUGGAGUAAUACAAUGAUGAAACCAUCCAGAGCCCAAUAAGAAAGACAAGAUAUGCGUUCAAAUUGCUAUGAUGCACAGUUUAAAGUUGAUUUUAACUGACCUUAUAGAUACAUAGGAUUUAUGGAAACAGGAAAGAAAAGAAGUUCUAUUUAUGCAGAACAGAUGAAUGAGAUAGCAAAGUACAAAGUUCCUAGGAUGUAUAGGGAACAAAGUUACUGUCAAGGUGUGCUCUUAAGAGCCCCCUAAGGAUAUAAAUGGGAAAUAAAGCUUUUUGAGGCCAGAGUAUUGAUCCUUGAAACUUCAGGAAUUUGGGACUUAAUUAGGAACUAGAAUCCAAAAUAUCUCAAAAUAAAAGUGUAACAAUGACCAGUCUAGUUAUAUUAAGCCAUAACACAAAACCUUAGAGAGAACAUCUGUUCAUUCAACAAUAAGCUCAAGUUACGUUUUUUAAAAAAAUAAAAAGUUCUAAGCUGUUGCAGACACCCCAGAUCAAAUAGUAAUUCCAUGAAAAAUGCUGUGUAUGCAGUCACUGCGGCAUAUUGAUAUUUAAAAAGAUAGUCCAAAACCUUAUAUCUUUAAAAAAAGCCAUGAAAUUAAGAUUUCA